CAAAGUUUAUGAUACUAUCUCCCGAAGUUAUAUUUUAUUGCUACCUGUUGAUCGCUACUGUUUACUCUUAAGGUUUAUAGUUUCCAUAAAAAUACUGUGAGAUAAUUUAUACAAGAGCUGGUUCCUGGUUUCCAUUAUGUAAUUCUUCAGUAGGUAUGAUGAGCCUAAUAUCACAGAUCAAGUUUUAAUAACUUAUAUUAUGAGUUGUUUUUAUUUAUUGUAUGGUUUUGGUGGUAUACCUAUACAAAACAUAACUACUGAAAGAUUUAUAAAACCCAUGAAGUACUGGCAGAUAAUGUAGUUGUUGAUAUUGAUAGCGAAUGUGUUAACACAGAAGAUAUUCCAUUUAUGAGUACUAAUCUAUGAACAUGCUAUAAAAAACUAUAAAAUUUAACAUUUAUAAUAAAUAUUUAAACCUUU